GGCUGGCAGGAUCUGCAUCCCAAAGAGAUAAUUGUGCUCAUUUGAUCUGAACCACAGAGGCCAUGUAACCUCAUGAGACAGAGAUCACACAGAGCGCUGGACAUCCUGGGAAAGGAAUAAUCCUGGAUUAUGGCACCACUUUACAUAUGUGUAACCCCAAUGUACUCAGCCAUGGUGUUUCCCUGUACCAAGGACUUCAGUCUAUUCAUGAAUCUCUAAGAGCUGCUCAAACAAAUACUGAACAC